GCCUAGCUGCAGGCUUAACACAUGCAAGUCGAGCGCCCCGCAGGGGAGCGGCAGACGGGUGAGUAACGCGUGGGAAUCUACCCUUUUCUACGGAAUAACGCAGGGAAACUUGUGCUAAUACCGUAUGAGCCCUUCGGGGGAAAGAUUUAUCGGGAAAGGAUGAGCCCGCGUUGGAUUAGCUAGUUGGUUGGGUAAAGGCCUACCAAGGCGACGAUCCAUAGCUGGUCUGAGAGGAUGAUCAGCCACAUUGGGACUGAGACACGGCCCAAACUCCUACGGGAGGCAGCAGUGGGGAAUAUUGGACAAUGGGCGCAAGCCUGAUCCAGCCAUGCCGCGUGAGUGAUGAAGGCCCUAGGGUUGUAAAGCUCUUUCACCGGUGAAGAUAAUGACGGUAACCGGAGAAGAGCCCCGGCUAACUUCGUGCCAGCAGCCGCGGUAAUACGAAGGGGGCUAGCGUUGUUCGGAAUUACUGGGCGUAAAGCGCACGUAGGCGGAUUGUUAAGUGAGGGGUGAAAUCCCAGGGCUCAACCCUGGAACUGCCUUUCAUACUGGCAAUCUAGAGUCCAGAGAGGUGAGUGGAAUUCCGAGUGUAGAGGUGAAAUUCGUAGAUAUUCGGAGGAACACCAGUGGCGAAGGCGGCUCACUGGUCUGGAACUGACGCUGAGGUGCGAAAGCGUGGGGAGCAAACAGGAUUAGAUACCCUGUAGUCCACGCGUAAACGAUGAUGUUAGCCGUCGGGCAGUUUACUGUUCGUGCGCAGCUAACGCAUUAAACAUUCCGCCUGGGG
rnacentral:rRNA from 1 species